rnacentral:rRNA from 1 species
GAUGAACGCUGGCGGCGUGCCUAAUACAUGCAAGUCGAGCGAACAGACGAGGAGCUUGCUCGUCUGACGUUAGCGGCGGACAGGUGAGGAACACGUGGAUAACCUACCUAUAAGACUGGGAUAACUUCGGGAAACCGGAGCUAAUACCGGGUAAUAUAUUGAACCGCAUGGUUCAAUAGUGAAAGACGGUUUUGCUGUCACUUAUAGAUGGAUCCGCGCCGUAUUAGCUAGUUGGUAAGGUAAUGGCUUACCAAGGCAGCGAUGAGUAGCAGACCUGAGAGGGUGGUCGACCGCAAUAGAACUGAGACGCGGUCGAGACGCCUACGGGAGGCAGCAGUAGGGAAUAUUACGGAAUGGGCGAAAGCCUGACGGAGCAGCGCCGCGUGAGUAAUGAAGGUCUCCGGAUCGUAAAGCUCUGCUAUUAGGAGAGAAGAAAUGUGUCAGUGACUAUGCGCGUCUUGACGGUACCUAAUCAGAAAGCGCCGGCUAACUACGUG